rnacentral:rRNA from 1 species
GACGAACGCUGGCGGCGUGCUUAACACAUGCAAGUCGAACGGAAAGGCCCUGCUUUUGUGGGGUGCUCGAGUGGCGAACGGGUGAGUAACACGUGAGUAACCUGCCCUUGACUUUGGGAUAACUUCAGGAAACUGGGGCUAAUACCGGAUAGGAGCUCCUGCUGCAUGGUGGGGGUUGGAACGUUUCGGCGGUUGGGGAUGGACUCGCGGCUUAUCAGCUUGUUGGUGGGGUAGUGGCUUACCAAGGCUUUGACGGGUAGCCGGCCUGAGAGGGUGACCGGCCACAUGGGUACUAAGAUACGGCCCAGACGCCUACGGGAGGCAGCAGUGGGGAAUAUUGCACAAUGGGCGGAAGCCUGAUGCAGCAACGCCGCGUGCGGGAUGACGGCCUGCGGGUUGUAAACCGCUUUCGCCUGUGACGAAGCGGGAGUGACGGUAAUGGGUAAAGAAGCACCGGCUAACUACGUG